CCUACGGGUGACAGCAGUGAGGAAUAUUGGUCAAUGGCCGUAAGGCUGAACCAGCCAAGUCGCGUGAAGGAAGAAGGAUCUAUGGUUUGUAAACUUCUUUUAUAGGGGAAUAAAGGUAUCCACGUGUGGCUAUUUGCAUGUACCCUAUGAAUAAGCAUCGGCUAACUCCGUGCCAGCAGCCGCGGUAAUACGGAGGAUGCGCGCGUUAUCCGGAUUUAUUGGGUUUAAAGGGUGCGUAGGUUGUUUUUUAAGUCAGCGGUGAAAGUUUGUGGCUCAACCAUAAAAUUGCCGUUGAAACUGGAAGACUUGAGUGUGUUUGAGGUAGGCGGAAUGCGUGGUGUAGCGGUGAAAUGCAUAGAUAUCACGCAGAACUCCGAUUGCGAAGGCAGCUUACUAAGCCAUAACUGACACUGAAGCACGAAAGCGUGGGGAUCAAACAGGAUUAGAGACCCCAGUAGUC
rnacentral:rRNA from 1 species